rnacentral:rRNA from 1 species
GCCUUUGGCCAGAUGGGACUGAUUGCAUGUGGUCUGGGAAGCUAAGCAGGCCCAGGCCUGGUCUGUACAUGGAUGGAAGACUGCCUGGGAAUCCCGGGGGCCAUAGGCU